UACGUAGGUGGCAAGCGUUAUCCGGAUUUAUUGGGCGUAAAGCGAGUGCAGGCGGUUUAUAAGGUCUGAUGUGAAAGCCCUCGGCUCAACCGAGGAAGUGCAUCGGAAACCGGUAAACUUGAGUGCAGAAGAGGAGAGUGGAACUCCAUGUGUAGCGGUGGAAUGCGUAGAUAUAUGGAAGAACACCAGUGGCGAAGGCGGCUCUCUGGUCUGUAACUGACGCUGAGGCUCGAAAGCGUGGGUAGCAAAC
rnacentral:rRNA from 1 species